rnacentral:lncRNA from 1 species
AGAACAUCAGCUCAUCAGAAGCAGUGACAUCCAAGAGCCCAGAGGAGCCUGAAGAACAAUUGAGAGAAGCCUCCUUUGCCAACGCGUUGCCCACCAGGGCUGCACGUGGUACCCUUGCUCCAAGAUGCUUCCCAAAAACACCAGGACCAGGCAGUUAAAUGGCACUUGUACCAGCUCGGUGGACAUGGAGCUCUUCCUUCAUUAUUCCCUCAUCCCAUCACUCUUCAUCAUGUUGAUCUUGUCCUUCCUUCAAAGAUGAGAGCAUUGUAGACAGAGAGAUGAUACCUCUUACCUGCUGGGGAACUGCUUUGGCAUUAUCAUCCUUUGAGCUUCUGAUUGGAGGCAUUGAAGUCGGCCUGUCCCACUUCCCCUUCUUUGCCUGCCUCUCGUCGGAAUUCCAGCUGGUCAGCUCCAUCUUGGGCUUCUGCUACUCUGAUCUGGUUUGCUGUCACCAUUAUUCAAGUUUCACAGUGUCCCCACGGG